rnacentral:lncRNA from 1 species
AUACCCGUCCCCGGGACUGUGAAUACACCCGUCCCUGCCCCGUUGCGACUAUCAGGCUCUAUCCACACUAACUGGUCCGUGGAGAGCAAGUCCAACUGGCAUGAGCAACACCAACACGAAAGCACAAGCUUGACUCCGGAGUGGCACUCGUGGGCGCUACCCAACCGAGUAUGCAGCGUAUCUCUGUCGAGCUCAAUCAGGCUCCAACUAGCCAAAGUCAAGAAAUCGACUCAAACUGGUCUAACAACCAACAGGUAACGUGCCCUCGGCACAAUCUGACGCCAAAAAGGCGAUACGGGUCCACCGUCAAUUCUGACGGUACCCAACAGUCCGGAACAACCUGAGCGACCCUGUAAAAAUCCACUCGGCAUACCAGCACGAGCGUAAAUGUAUUCUAAACUAUUUGGAGUACUCGUCUCGAAGAUACUGCGACAGUACAAUUUACUAUGGCCCCUAAAGCUAAAUCAGGCAGUUUAAUCAAGUGACAGGUCCAAAUCGCAGGUUUUCUCCUAAUUCAAUUUCCAAGUCCAACAUGUAUAACCUAUUCAAUUUAUUACCACAUGCUCCAAAUUCAGAUAUGCAAUCUACCAUUUAAUCCACGAAUUCGAGCUAGAAUAGAGUAUCCAAAGGUCGAUAAUUAUACAUGCCGACGAAUAUGAACUUAGGAGUAGAAACCGAUGUAACCCACCUC